GANCGCAACCCUUGCCUUUAGUUGCCAGCAUUAAGUUGGGCACUCUAGAGGGACUGCCAGGGAUAACCUGGAGGAAGGUGGGGAUGACGUCAAAUCAUCAUGCCCCUUAUGCUUAGGGCUACACACGUGCUACAAUGGGUGGUACAGAGGGCAGCCAAGUCGUGAGGCCGAGCUAAUCCCUUAAAGCCAUUCUCAGUUCGGAUUGUAGGCUGAAACUCGCCUACAUGAAGCUGGAGUUACUAGUAAUCGCAGAUCAGAAUGCUGCGGUGAAUGCGUUCCCGGGUCUUGUACACACCGCCCGUCACACCAUGGGAGUUGGGGGCGCCCGAAGCCGGUUAGCUUACCUUUUGGAAGCGGCCGUCGAAGGUGAAACCAAUAAC
rnacentral:rRNA from 1 species